GGAACGUUUGGCUACGUGGAUCCGCGCCUGGUUAUUAUGAACUGCGUUAAUGCUGAUGGUGAAAUAUCUCAACCAAGUUGAUUUAGAAGAUUAUGUGACUCGAUCCGCACUUCUAUGUCUCUGCAGAGUCAAAAAUAUAAUAUCCACGACUGGUAUCAUGUAGUGGGAACGUUUGGCAUAGUGUACGUCACGGUCACGAUGAAAAGUAUUGUUUACACGCCUCAACAGUCAUGAAAGAGAGUUGGAAGCUAGUAUACACGUGGCAACCCUUUCUCACCCAGUUUUUCAUCAGAACUAUUUAUUGCUCAAAAUUUAAUACAUUCAUGCAGGGCAAACAGUGUUUACCAAGCGUAGACUCAAUAUCAAAAGACAAUUAUUCCGGACGUAUACACACGGAUUGGUGCACAGGUUCCACGUCUUCAUAUUCAUGUAGGAGUGGUUAUUACGAACUGCGUUCAUGCUGAUGGUGGAAUCUUUAAACAAAGUUGAUAUAGAAGGUUUUGUGACUCGAUCCGAACUUCUAUAACUCGUAUAGUCAAUGAUAUACGAUUGGUAUUAUGCAGUUGGAACGUUGUGCAUGUUCAUUAUUCGAGGGACAGUUUUUAACUGUGGUAAUGGUGAACCAAGUUUGAAGUUCCGCAAGGAUCAUAGCGGCCUAGCUACUACUUCUUGUGAUUAAAAAGGAUUGUUUCCAGAGUGCACCAGACUAAAACGAAACUUUAGCUCAUCACAGAUCGAGGAGUGGGCAUCUUCCAAAGAACAGAAAAAUAGUGCUGGAUAGCAGGUCUCUACAUAGAGGAAACAUAAUUAAUCUGAUCAGGCGGUCGCCUUUUAAGACCACAUUAUAAUAUUGAUUUUGCACCUACGUGUUGAUAAGAAGUUCAGGUCUUCAUAAUACUACAUGUAUAUGGAGUAGAUCGGAUCAACUUUUUAUUGAAUAUUGACGCCAAAUACCACAGAAGUAAAAUAGGACGUUCAUCCUAUACAGGUUGAAAGUGAAGCAUCAAUCCGUAAGCUAGAUUCCAUCACAUCUUACAUCUUCCCUGGUAGAGCCGCUAGCUACACCAUCGUGGUCGUAAACUUAACUGAAUAACCCAAUUCAUCAGGUGCAUUCAACUUCCAGUCAGCUUCCUCCAACAAAUAUAAAAAGAAAGAAACAUCUACCGGACUAAGAAGAGGUCGACGAGAUAUUCUAUUUGUCAACAUGCCGAUACAUUUUCAUAAUGGUUCCUUAUUGGAUGCGUUCCCUCUCCUCCUCCUGCUCCUCAUAUCGCUAAUGAUCGGAGCUUACUUCGCCCACAGGAUAAAAGGACAAGCGGAUAAACUUGCUAAGGAUGAGUAAAACUUGGAAUGAAUGCACUGUCAAGAAGAGGCAGUCGACAGGGCCGCCACGAAGAGUCUUGAUGUAUGAUGGGUACCAGAAACGCAAAGCCCGUUCAGAUCACAACCAUCAAUAUUUUGAUGGUUGAUCAAAAUCUGAUGCAUUCCUCUCCUACUAGAAUAUAGCUGUCCUUGUUGGAAUAUGUUGGAAGUUUAUCAUUUUCCCCCUUUUUUAUAUUCUUUGUUAAAAAAGUUAUUUCAGAAAAAUUAUUUUCAUGAAAGGCGAAUUUGAGGGUAUAGUAACCCCAAAACUCGAAAUGAGCUGAUUUAAAAACAUUGUUUAGUUUGGCAAGAAAUAUCUCUUUACAGGGUGACUAAAAAAGAACGCAACACUUGAGGUCUGCAAUUUCAACGGCAACAUCGUCAUUGGUUUUUGUUUUAUUAGUAAAAUGAUACUAAGGUCUCAAUUUUUGUUUUCUGUUAUUGUAUAAAGAAACUUUAUUUUAAAAAUGUGCUACUUUAACGACCAUAGUCUUGCUUGAAGCAUCUAGAGAUCUGUGCAUGAUAGCUUUUCAUACAAUCAACCGUGUUGACGACAUCAGUCGUGCUUAAUAAAAAAAAACAAAAAAAAACAAUAACACUGUGUCAAUGAUGCUAACAUUACAGUUAUCAGGUGUUGCGUUCCUUUUGUGGAAUAUGGUAUAUUAAUAGGCCUACAUUACACAUGCAGUUUCAUCCAGCAAAGUGGCAAGUUAAGCGUGCCACCAAGAAACGCAAACCGAUCUCCUCCACCUACAACUUCCAUGGAACAAUACUUGAGGAAGCUACAUCAACCAAAAUACCUUGGAGUUCAUAUUUACAAUAAUCUAAACUUCAACAACCAUGUUGACAUUAUUGCCAAGAAAGCUAACUCCACCUGAGCUUUCCUCCAGCGUAACUUCAGGAAGUGUUAACAUAAGAUCAAGGAAGCAACCUACAAGAUUGUGUACGACCCAGGAAAGAAUACACGGCUGUAGUGUGGGACCCACACACACAAUGUUCAUCAAGAAAGUGGAGCAGGUACAGCUGAAUAGUACCAGAUUGUAAUUGUGAGGCAACUAUGACCGUAGAUCAAGGGUUAGUGCCAUGCUGAAUGAGCGCCAGUGACCUUCACUUCAGAGUAAACAUCAGCACAGUCUGUUAACUAUGCUCUUCAGGAUACAGUUCAACCUGGUUGAUAAUGAUGGAAGGACCACCCGAUACCAUCAGAUUGCCGAUCCUGGAUUCCACACUCCGUCUCUCAAGUACUUUCCUCAUCCUUCUCCCCUACGCCUGCAGAGAAUAGAACGGCGUCAUAGAAGGAUCCUGCAUACUUCCCUUCAUUUGAUGCUUUCAAGAGAGCUUUGAGGGAAGUCCUCAUCUAACAUGCAGUCUUUCCAACACACUUUGCAGCUGCACCUCAUCUGUAUACUACUGCACAACACUCUGUUUACAUGUAAAUAUAAUCUUCACUUGAAGUAUGUGCCAUACUGACUUCGUGCAGGCACCAUCCUGCAGUGUGUUGAUCUUCAACAAUGAUGGAUGCAUAUUUUUUCUUCUUC